AUUGAACGCUGGCGGCAGGCCUAACACAUGCAAGUCGAGCGAGCGGCGGACGGGUGUGUAAUGUAUGGGGCUCUGCCCGAUAGAGGGGGAUAACUACUGGAAACGGUCUCUAAUACCGCAUACUAUCCGAUGACCCCAUAUGGGAUUAGCUAGUAGGUGGGGUAAAGGCUCACCGAGGCGACGAUCUCUAGCUGGUCUGAGAGGAUGACCAGCCACAGUGGAACUGGGACACGGUCCAGACUCCUACGGGAGGGAGCAGUGGGGAAGAUGGCAGAAUGGGCGCAAGCCUGAUGAAGCCAUGCCGCGUGUGGGAAGAGGGCCUUAGGGUUGUAAAGCACUUACAGCGUGGAGGCGUAACAUGCAGAAGAAGCACCGGCUAACGCCGUGCCAGCAGCCGCGGUAAUAC
rnacentral:rRNA from 1 species